GGGUCUAUCAGUAAAGUUGGUGUUAUCCUGUUUCUCAUUUCUAGCAGAGUCUAGGUGGCUUCUGCUGAAAUGAGGAGUUUCUUCUGCCAUUGAGCCCUUUAGUUUGAAAAUUGGGAUGGGUUCCUCCUGCUUUUAAAAAUCAAUAUUUUUUUCCUUUUGUUUCUUACUUUUCUAAAGAUUUAGCUUGAAAUCAGGUUUAAAGGGCAGUAACUAUUUCUGGGUACUUUCCCAGCAGACAUCUAGAUAGUUCAUUAUGAAAGUAGUUCAGCUCAGCUUUCUUAAUUUUCUGAAAAAUGAUUUAAUACAUUCUUGUUUGUUUGUUUUUCUCUGGAGUACAUCCUUGCCAGUCGUGUUAUCAUAUCUGGCUACAGACACAUAGGUGGAUGCUUUCUGGAGCUUGCAAUUUCUAAUGAGGACCUUGCAAUUUUCAGCAGGUGGGGUCUUGUCUUUACAAAGACGGAUGCUUGUGUGACCAACCAAAUGCAACCAGGUCUUGUAAAAACACCAGCAGAAAACAUCAGUUGGUACUGCAAAGUUAACAUCUCGUUGAAGCUCAAAGGAUAGCAGAGAGCAGCGCUAGCACCUUUGCGGGUGUCACUUCUUGGCUCCAAACAGCUUACUGCAAGUAUUCUCCUGGAGAUGCUGGCAGCCUGUGCCCUGGACAGGUAUGCUCUUUGCUGGGUAAGGAACUGGCUGGAGGGCCGGGCCCAGAGAGUGGUGGUGAAUGGAGUUACAUCCAACUGGUGAUCUAUCAUAAGUGGUGUUUCCCAGGGAUCGUUACCGGGGCCUGUCCUGUGUAAUAUCUUUAUUGUUGAUCUGGAUGAGGGAAUUGGGUGCACCCUCAGUAAGUUUGACACCAGAUUGGGAAGAAAUGUUGACCUGCCUGGGGGCAGGAAGGCCCUACAGAGGGCUGAUGCCAAUGGGAUGAAGUUAAAAAUGACCAAGGGCCAAGUCCUGCACUUUGGCCACAAAAACCCCAGGCAAUGCUACAGGCUUGGGGCAGGGUGGCUGGAAGCUG